AACGAACGCUGGCGGCAUGCCUAACACAUGCAAGUCGAACGAGACCUUCGGGCUUAGUGGCGCACGGGUGCGUAACGCGUGGGAACCUGCCCUUAGGUUCGGCAUAACUCCCCGAAAGGGGUGCUAAUAACGGAGAAUGUUUCCGGACCAAAGAUUUAUCGCCUUUGGUUGCGCCCGCGUUGCAUUAGCUAGUUGGUAGGGUAAAAGCCUGCCAAGGCGACGAGCCAUAGCUGGCUUGAGAGGAUGAUCAGCCACACUGGGAUUGAGACACGGCCCAGACUCGUACGAGAAGCAGCAGUGGGGGAUAUAGGGGAGUGAGCGAGAGCCUGAGCCAGCGAUGCCGCGUGAGUGAUGAAGGCGUUAGGGUUGUAAAGCGCUUGUAACCGGGAUGAUAGUGACAGUACCGGGAGAAUAAGCUCCGGCUAACUCCGUG
rnacentral:rRNA from 1 species